UACGAAGGGGGCUAGCGUUGCUCGGAAUCACUGGGCGUAAAGCGCACGUAGGCGGAUUGCUAAGUCAAGGGUGAAAUCCUGGAGCUCAACUCCAGAACUGCCUUUGAUACUGGCAAUCUCGAGUCCGGGAGAGGUGAGUGGAACCUGCGAGUGUAGAGGUGAAAUUCGUAGAUAUUCGCAAGAACACCAGUGGCGAAGGCGGCUCACUGGCCCGGUACUGACGCUGAGGUGCGAAAGCGUGGGGAGCAAACAGG
rnacentral:rRNA from 1 species